GAGGAAUUUUUUCAUUUCUCACCAAUGGCUUUGAGGGGCACUCGGAGAGUGACAUCUGCCCAGACCAAUAAGGGCCAUCCUAUCCCCCGCGUCCCCCCUCCCCCCACCUCUUAUCUCUUCAGAGCGGUAAAUAAGGAAACCGGCAUGGGUGGAUUCGGUUAAUUAGACGGUGCUGAACGAAGGGAAGGGUGCUGGUGAGGGCGCGGCGCGAGAAGGAGGCUUCAAGCUGCCACAACCCUCCCCCACCCCUCCCCGCGGUGGUUGCGACAGAACGGGUUCAGCCGCCAUCAUGUUCUAGCUUUCCCCUUCACCUCAGUACGCGACCGAAAAAGCGGCCUCUGUGGGGGUCGGGGGCGUGGCCCCGUGAUUGGCGCAGGCGUGCCAGCCAAUCUCAGCUCGCUCAACGGGAAGGUCCCGGCCAAUAAGAGGCAGCGACGGCGGCGAGGAGCGAAGGGGCGGGCCGAGGGCUUGACGGGCAGUCGCACUGGGCCAGUGGGAGGAGGGCGGUGGCGGCGCGUGGCCAAUGGCGUGCCCGAGGAGGCGGGUCCCCGGCUGUUUGUGUUGUGGCCGGGGCGGGGGGAGGGAGGCGGAGGGGGAAAGUUUGUUUAUUUUGUUUUGAGUUUCUGGGUCCGCGGCGCUCGCGGAGGUGAAGAGGGAGGGAGUCGCCCCCGCCCCCUCGGGCCGCGUCUCCCACGCCGUCUCCUCGGCCGGCGGGGACUCAGCCCAGCGCGCCGCCGCCGCCACCGGCUCAGCGCCCGAAGCCUGGCGCAGCUUCUUCAGCGCCGAAGGGGGGAUUGGCCCCGGAGGCCCCCCCGCACUCCCUGUUCAUUCACCCGUCCUGGCCUGGUGACCCUGGCUCAAGCCCCGAACCGUCGGUUAACUCUUCAUCUCCUUGGCACCCCUUAGGGUCUAAGUGGUCAUAAGUGGACAGAAGAAAAGUCAGUCCACGGGCACGGCUGAAGUGCCUGCCAUGGGCCAGGUAUUGGACAAAGUACUGGGGAGGCAAAGGAUGGACAAAAGCAGCCCCUCGCUCUCAAAGAGCUUCCUUUCUAAUAGGGGAGCCAUAAAAAAACUUGGCUCCUGGCCCAGGGCUCUUUGGAAGCUGGUAACUUUGUGGGGGUCUCCUGGCAAGUUUGGCUUUCCCUAGCUUUGGGGUUGAGAGAGACUUUGAAAGGCCCCUGGUCCCCUCGUCGUUUUGGAGGUGAAAAGCUUAAAGGGUUUGCCGAAUUAGUGUCUCUGCAGGUGACUGGCUCCCAGAUCCGCAUCCGGCCACAUCUCUGUCCUGGGCUCUAGUCUCAGCUGGACAUCUCUGCUCUGGCAUUCCACGGCAUCUCAAAUCCACUUCAAAGUGAAACUCGCUCUGUCCCGUUCCCCCGGCCCCAAGUCACCCAGGUCCUUUGGAGUCAUGGGUAGUUCAUCGCUGUCCCUCCCCUCCUGGGGUCUGGUCAGGUGGCACGUCUGUGACAUAGUGUAUGUUGGGCUUGGCUUGGAGUCAGGAAGUCUUCGGUUCAAGGCCUGCCCCCAACCCUUGUCAAAUCCCUGAUCAAAUCACUUACCCUCUCUGGGCCUUGGUUUCUUCACCUGUAAAAUGAAAGGUCUGGCCUCAGUGACCUCAGAGGUCUCGUCUUCGUCCUCACACCACAGCCCUAAUCACUCCCCUCCCGCCUUCUUGCUGAGGCUCCUCACCCUUCCAGUUCCUGUUCCUUGCCGCAUGAAAGAGAUCUUCUGGGUUUGGCAGGUCUGACAGUGACUCGACUGUUCCAGAAACUUCAGUGGCUCCCUCUUGCCUCUAGGACAAAGGACAGCCUCCUGUUUGGCAUUUAAAACCCUGUUAACCACCUCUCAGGGUCACGAGGCUGUGACCCAACCAGUGCACUUGCUGUUUCUUGUACAUACCAUUCUGCCACCUCCUGGACAGGCCUGGGGCUUCCCCUCCAGGGCAGCUGGUCUGAUGCAGCAUCUGGGCUGAAAUCUUGGCUUCUUCCUACCUGUGCUGCGCUGGCCGCGUCCCUCAAACUCUCUAGGCCACGUAGGAUGUCCUCAGUUACCUAGCGCUGGGUCCCUUUCAGGCCUACACCUAUGGCCCUGUAUGAUUUUAAAGCCCCAGAUCUCCCUCACGUGCCCCACAUCAAGCUUGUUAGCAGCUGUGUUAGAAGAGGAGGCUCAAAAUGGGAAACUGUCAUAGAAUAAGGGUGACACUUGGGAAGGUCUAGUCAAGGAAUGGAAGACAUCAAGAAGGAUAAUGGUGCUCAGCGAGCAGACUGGACAUGGUAGCAGUUUUGUAGCCAUCUGAAAAUGCCAGGAGGCUGCUGGACCAGCGCUCGGUGCACCUGUGGACACAGAGCAUCCUUUUCUGUCGUGAUGAAAUGUGGAAGGAUGUUUGCUUCACCCUCAUCUCAUGUGUUUUAUAUCAAAAUAAGAGGAGAAGGAGAUAUUCGUUUGGGAGGAGAUGAACCCCUGAUUCACAUGGAAGCUCCCGCAGUAUGGUGGCAAUCCCAAGUGUCAGUGAUUCAGUGACCAGGCUUUGGGAGUAGGGGGACUGCAGUCCUCUCUUUGUGGUUCUGCUGCAAGAUUCUUGGUGUGGAGAUAGCUGACGACCAACCCCAGUCACACAGCACAGGUGCUUCCAGACAUUCUGAGUUGUGAGAGGUCCCAAGUGAGCUCCCUAAGCCAUUAUUGAAGGUCUUUGGGAGGUGUCUGGUGCUCCUAAGAAGGCUGCCACCCUUCAUGGGGCCUUCCUUACAGCGGCCCACCUCACCUUCCAUGCUGCCUAGUCAGUUACCUAGGUGGUGUCGUUCCACCCUGCCUCUCCCCACCGUCAGUGCAGGAUGGGGAGUGGCCCAAGUUGGGGCCACAGCUGGCAUGCCCCCCACCCCCAUCACGUGGAAAGGCUGCACCAGAUACUUCUACAAUGACUAGUACAUUUGUUUAGAAUCCAAAAUUGAGUGGUUUUGAAUACAAAUAAUUCGGAAUACUUUAGUUUAGUUGGCUUAUUAAAUGUCCAAUAGGCAUUUCUGGAAGGGGGGGUAGGGCUGGAACACAACCUAAUGAUUUUUGUUUGUAUGGUCUUUACCUGAGGCAAGUAUUACCUGGGAUGGGAAUCCGCCUGAAUACCAAUAAAGGGACCCUCAGUGUUUGUGGGUAGAUCCCA
rnacentral:lncRNA from 1 species